AUUGAACGCUGGCGGCAUGCCUUACACAUGCAAGUCGAACGGGGGUAGCAAUACCCUAGUGGCGAACGGGUGAGUAAAGCAUCGGAACGUACCCAGUUGUGGGGGAUAACGUAGCGAAAGUUACGCUAAUACCGCAUACGCACUGAGGUGGAAAGCGGGGGAUCGCAAGACCUCGCGCAAUUGGAGCGGCCGAUGUCGGAUUAGCUAGUUGGUAGGGUAAAAGCCUACCAAGGCGACGAUCCGUAGCUGG
rnacentral:rRNA from 1 species